GAUGAACGCUGGCGGCGUGCCUAAUACAUGCCAGUCGAGCGAACAGACGAGGAGCUUGCUCCUUUGAUGUUAGCGGCGGACGGGUGAGUAACACGUAGGUAACCUACCUAUAAGACUGGGAUAACUUCGGGAAACCGGAGCUAAUACCGGAUAAUAUUUCGAACCGCAUGGUUCGAUAGUGAAAGAUGGCUUUGCUAUCACUUAUAGAUGGACCUGCGCCGUAUUAGCUAGUUGGUAAGGUAACGGCUUACCAAGGCAACGAUACGUAGCCGACCUGAGAGGGUGAUCGGCCACACUGGAACUGAGACACGGUCCAGACUCCUACGGGAGGCAGCAGUAGGGAAUCUUCCGCAAUGGGCGAAAGCCUGACGGAGCAACGCCGCGUGAGUGAUGAAGGUCUUCGGAUCGUAAAACUCUGUUAUUAGGGAAGAACAAACGUGUAAGUAACUGUGCACGUCUUGACGGUACCUAAUCAGAAAGCCACGGCUAACUACGUG
rnacentral:rRNA from 1 species